rnacentral:rRNA from 1 species
AUACGGAGGGUACGAACGUUAAUGGGAAUUACUGGGCGUAAAGCGCGCGUAGGUGGUUCGGUAAGUGGGAUGUGAAAGCCCCGGGCUCAACCCGGGAACUGCAUUCCAAACUGCCGGGCUAGAGUAUGGUAGAGGGAGGUAGAAUUUCCUGUGUAGCGGUGAAAUGCGUAGAUAUAGGAAGGAAUACCGGUGGCGAAGGCGGCCUCCUGGACCAAUACUGACACUGAGGUGCGAAAGCGUGGGGAGCAAACAGGAUUAGAAACCCCAGUAGUCC